AGUUUUCGUAAAGAGUAACGCUGGAAAUCCUGCCAGUGAGUCAUACGUACCGUGUUGAAACGAGGUCCUCGCAUAGAUCCAAUAAUAGACCAGAGCCCGUUUCGACAAUAUCGAUCAGUUCCAAUAUUAGGUUUCAGCGUUCUCUCGCGUUCAGCGUCAAGUUUGUGGUAUGCCCACAAUGAGGUUGAGUCUGAUCAAAUUAUUCGUUCUGAUAUGGACCGUCACGUAGAUUAAUGACCUGAGAAUUGAUUGCCUUAAGUAGGCCUUCGCUAAGGUCACGUCAGAAAUAUAGUCAAAGCACGGAGACGUCGAGCUCCCCAUUUCGCUGGCCGUUGCCCCCUCAUGUGCAUUUCUUUUGUGCUGCCGAUAAAGCUGGUUUCAAUAUAAACAGGCUUGUCAUUCUAUUCAUGCUGGAUUGGUUGUAAAACGCAGUGCUAAGGAGAAAAAGUACUAAGGAAGUCGCUCAAUGGACUGUCUGGAAGGACCGUCAAGGGGUGAUUGCGACGCGAUUGCACAGACCGGAAACAUUAUUUCUUUUGAACGCUUUCCAGCAAUCAGUUUGCAGGCGUCGGAAGAAGGACGGCCAGCGAUUACGGCAGCGGAGAAAAUGAAUUAAAGGAAAAAUUUAAGAAUUAAGAAGAAAAAUACCCGAACUUAAUGAGGCGACGACCAGUGAGUUGAAGUGACAGGCAGAAAAAUCCAGACCAGCGAAAAAUUUUCAAGAAUCAAAAAUUAUCGAACAAUUAGUUCUGUACAGCCAUCGAUGCGUCGUUUUAAAUCGCCCGUAUUUACCUUGCCAGGUCCAGUAGUAUACUGAAGUCGUUUUUUUUUUAGAAGAGGCAAUAUCGUUUGAUACGUUGGAUUUCCAUUUCCAAUGCGACAUUGUACGCUUCACGGAAGAUGUGCGAACAGAGAGAAAUUGUCAAGAAAGAAUGUAUUGCCUGGAGCAAGUAUAUAUUUGCUAGUAGCGUUGCUUGACAGGCAAAGCUGGAAGUGGUAACCUUAGAAUUACGCCAAAGACAUUAUGCUGACGACAGGGUGAUGACUCCU